UACGUAGGGGGCAAGCGUUGUCCGGAAUCAUUGGGCGUAAAGAGCGUGUAGGCGGCUCGGUAAGUCCGCUGUGAAAGUCCAGGGCUCAACCCUGGGAUGCCGGUGGAAACUGUCGAGCUAGAGUCCGGAAGAGGCGAGUGGAAUUCCUGGUGUAGCGGUGAAAUGCGCAGAUAUCAGGAGGAACACCGGUGGCGAAGGCGGGUCUCUGGGCCGAUACUGACGCUGAGGAGCGAAAGCGUGGGGAGCGAACAGG
rnacentral:rRNA from 1 species